CGGGAGUGCUCUUAAUCAUUUAAAAAUAAAAGGAGAAAUUAAAAAAAAAAGAAAAACUAAAGUAACUGUGAAGCAAUGACACUGCACCGCUACUGGUGUAGCGUGUUAUCCUAACCUAUGGCUCUUAUGACUUAUUCAGUGAGAACUGGUCAUUCUCAGAAGACUAAUUAGCCAGUGGCUACGAGAAUAAGAUUGAUGAUAAGAGGGGAGCCAAGUCACCUGAGAGGAAAUGCAUCUUUCUGCUCCACUUGAGAGUGGAAGAGAAACAGUAGAUUCUUCUCGGAUGCAUUAUUUAAGAAAGAAGCAAUGUUGCUGAGCAGGACAGGCAGGACAGCCGCCAGCAGCAGUCAGAGUGACGGCGGCGCAUCCCAGACCCCGUGCUUCAGCUCAGGACCCUCACAGGGACCCACACACCAACAGCCAGCAUGGAAAAAGAGGGCGAGAACUGGGGUCAGCAGCUGAUGGGAUGGAUCCUGGUUUUAUUUACACACAUGCACUAAUCUCC
rnacentral:lncRNA from 1 species